rnacentral:rRNA from 1 species
UACCCUAUUAUUUUAAACGUUAAUUCGUAAACUUGAUUAGUAAUAGUUAUGUUCUUGAAAAUUAAAGAUUUUGGCGGUAUUUUAGUCUGUUCAGAGGAACCUGUCCUGUAAUCGAUGACCCACGAUAAAUUGAACUUUUUCUUUAAGUUUAUAUAUCGUCGUGUUUGAAUAUUUCUUUAGAAUUUGAAUAUUCAUGAUUUUAUUUUGAAAGUAAAUCAGAUCAAGGUGUGGCUUAUGAGAAAGGAAGAGAUGGGUUACAUUAAAUUUAUUUAUGAGAUUAAUUUCUUGAAAUGAAAUAUGAAUACGGAUUUGAUAGUAAUUUUAAUUAUUUUAUUAAGAUGACUUAAGCUCUAAAAUAUGCACAUAUC